AAGCAUUAUCAAGAGUAUAGGUUUCCAAAGUAAUUUUAGCCUGGGCUGAAAGCACCACUGGUAGGCUACACUGGCGCUGUUGCCGUGGAAAUGACAACAUCCGGUCUCUGAAUAUGAAAAAACAAGCCUUUUUUCGUUUCUAUUUUCGAGUGAUUUUAUUUUUUG